rnacentral:miRNA from 1 species
UCUGAACUCUAUGUGGGAUUAG